AGUGAACGCUGGCGGUAGGCCUAACACAUGCAAGUCGAACGGCAGCACAGUAAGAGCUUGCUCUUACGGGUGGCGAGUGGCGGACGGGUGAGGAAUACAUCGGAAUCUACUUUUUCGUGGGGGAUAACGUAGGGAAACUUACGCCAAUACCGCAUACGACCUACGGGUGAAAGCAGGGGAUCUUCGGACCUUGCGCGAUUGAAUGAGCCGAUGUCGGAUUAGCUAGUUGGCGGGGUAAAGGUCCACCAAGGCGACGAUCCGUAGCUGGUCUGAGAGGAUGAUCAGCCACACUGGAACUGAGACACGGUCCAGACUCCUACGGGAGGCAGCAGUGGGGAAUAUUGGACAAUGGGCGCAAGCCUGAUCCAGCCAUACCGCGUGGGUGAAGAAGGCCUUCGGGUUGUAAAGCCCUUUUGUUGGGAAAGAAAAGCAGCAGGUUAAUACCCCGCUGUUCUGACGGUACCCAAAGAAUAAGCACCGGCUAACUUCGUG
rnacentral:rRNA from 1 species